rnacentral:lncRNA from 1 species
AGUCUUAUUUUAAUUUGAUAAACAUUUUUAUGCAUGAUUUGGUAUUUGUGUGUGUACUUGUAUCUUCAUGAGAAUAAUCAUCUUUUAAUGUUGUUUGUACUUGAUAUUUUCAUAUAAAUAAAACAUUUAUAUUUGCAGUUGGUUACAUGACAUGUUUAUAAAAUUGACCAUAGCAGUACUUAUAAGUUAAAAAUUAAAUUAAAAAUUAUUAAAACGCAUGUAUAACAUGACUUCACAUUUUCCCAUGAAUUAUUUAUUAAAUUCAAAUUUUUGUAUGAAGCUUGUUUAGUUCCACGAAAAGCACCAUGAAGUCAUGAUUUCGUAUAAACGGCUUCCCUAUCGCUAUACGCCAAUGAACCUACGAGUCAUCUGACCAUGAUUACACAGAUCUUUGGACUACCGAGGAGGAAACAAGGAAAAAUUAAAAAGACAAGAGGGUCUUGACCCACUUAUUCUUGGCCCUGGAUAUAUUGUUACGCGAAGGGCAAGAAUGUACAUCGGCUCCAAAUAUCGGUGAAGAGAGCUGAAGACUUUGGGGUAGUUCUAUAUACACCCCCCCU